rnacentral:rRNA from 1 species
CGAACGCUGGCGGCGUGCCUAAUACAUGCAAGUCGAACGCACUCUCGUUUAGAUUGAAGGAGCUUGCUCCUGAUUGAUAAACAUUUGAGUGAGUGGCGGACGGGUGAGUAACACGUGGGUAACCUGCCCUAAAGUGGGGGAUAACAUUUGGAAACAGAUGCUAAUACCGCAUAAAACCUAACACCGCAUGGUGUAGGGUUGAAAGAUGGUUUCGGCUAUCACUUUAGGAUGGACCCGCGGUGCAUUAGUUAGUUGGUGAGGUAAAGGCUCACCAAGACCGUGAUGCAUAGCCGACCUGAGAGGGUAAUCGGCCACACUGGGACUGAGACACGGCCCAGACUCCUACGGGAGGCAGCAGUAGGGAAUCUUCCACAAUGGACGAAAGUCUGAUGGAGCAACGCCGCGUGAGUGAAGAAGGUUUUCGGAUCGUAAAACUCUGUUGUUGGGGAAGAAUGUAUCUGAUAGUAACUGAUCAGGUAGUGACGGUAUCCAACCAGAAAGCCACGGCUAACUACGUG